rnacentral:rRNA from 1 species
UAGAUGCGAGAGUAGAGCAUAUCAAUAAGCGGAGGAAAAGAAACUAACAAGGAUUCCCUUAGUAACGGCGAGUGAAGCGGGAAGAGCUCAAAUUUGAAAUCUUCAAGGUUCUACCUUGACGAAUUGUAGUUUAUAGAAGUGUUUUCUGUUAGUGGAGUGGCAAAAGUUCUUUGGAAUAGGACAUCAUAGAGGGUGAGAAUCCCGUAUUUGGUCAUUCCUCCUAGCGUUGUGAUACACUUUCAACGAGUCGGAUUGUUUGGGAAUGCAGUCCAAAAUGGGUGGUAAAUUUCAUCUAAAGCUAAAUAUUGGCGAGAGACCGAUAGCGAACAAGUACCGUGAGGGAAAGAUGAAAAGAACUUUGAAAAGAGAGUUAAACAGUACGUGAAAUUGUCAAAAGGGAAGCGUUUGACACCAGUGUUGUUUUUCCGAAAAUCAAUUACGAAUGUUUUAUUUUUGAGGAGUUAUGACCUCAUCGGCUUGCUCCUUUCUUUAUGAAACUUUCUUAAUGCACUUUUCGGUUAACAAGUCAACAUCAAUUUCUUUUGUUGUAAAAGGGUAUGAGGAAGGUAGCUUUCUUUUCGGAGAAAGUGUUUAUAGCCUUGUGCCUCUGCAAUCGGAGAGAUUGAGGUCUGCAGCGUAGAUCCUACGGGGUUAGAUACAGUUUGUGCUAAGUUAUAGCUUUUCAUAGACAACUUGUUGACUAUGUUUAGUCUUGUAGCUUACUCGCUUAUGCUAUUUUACCUACGCUUAGGAUGUUGACGAGACUGUCGAUCUC